UUUUUUGUUUUACAUUGGUUAUUUUUGGGGGGAGGCUCCUUCACCAUAGGAUGCUGUCCUGUGGCAUCCCAGGAACCUCCAGAGCUGCAUCCUGCUCCAGAGGAGCUGCUGGAACUGAGCUGAAAUGAAUGCAUCCUGCAGCAGAUCAAUGUGAACACAUGAUGGAUUUCCAGCUAUCUUGUGCCACCCUGUGUGAGAGAUGGGAAAUUACACAACUUUCUGACCACUGUGACCUGAGUUUGGCAUUGGUGUCCUGCAGAUAUUUGUGCAUUUUGAAUACACUUUUUCAGUUUGUCAGCAACUGAAGUACAUUUUUAAAAGUAUUAAAAAUAUUUUAUGUGACAAUUAUUUUAAAAUGUGAUUUCUUUAUAUUUUAACUCUU